UGAACGCUGGCGGCGUGCCUAAUACAUGCAAGUCGAGCGAACGGACGAGGAGCUUGCUCCUCUGACGUUAGCGGCGGACGGGUGAGUAACACGUGGAUAACCUACCUAUAAGACUGGGAUAACUUCGGGAAACCGGAGCUAAUACCGGAUAAUAUAUUGAACCGCAUGGUUCAAUAGUGAAAGACGGUUUUGCUGUCACUUAUAGAUGGAUCCGCGCCGCAUUAGCUAGUUGGUAAGGUAACGGCUUACCAAGGCAACGAUGCGUAGCCGACCUGAGAGGGUGAUCGGCCACACUGGAACUGAGACACGGUCCAGACUCCUACGGGAGGCAGCAGUAGGGAAUCUUCCGCAAUGGGCGAAAGCCUGACGGAGCAACGCCGCGUGAGUGAUGAAGGUCUUCGGAUCGUAAAACUCUGUUAUUAGGGAAGAACAAAUGUGUAAGUAACUAUGCACGUCUUGACGGUACCUAAUCAGAAAGCCACGGCUAACUACGUG
rnacentral:rRNA from 1 species